ACAGUGCAGGUGACAGAGCACUGAAGGAGGAGGCCCAGAGAUACUGUCUCCUUGAAGAUAUUCAAAAGCUGCCCAGACAUAGUUCUGAGAUGCCUGCAUUAGGUGUCCCUGCUUGAACAAUGAAAAAGAAGGCUGGACUAGAUGGCCUCCAAAGGUUCCUUCCCAAACCAACCAUUCUGAGAUUCUGUGAAGUUUUCCAAAUCCAGCUCAUAGGCACUUCAUCUUGGGGAACAGUAAAGCAGCCCAAUCAGCUAGGCUGAGGAAUGAAGUCUACCUCCUGACUCUCUCCUAUUCUUCCCUGAACUUGGACCCUGAUGCUUUUUAAAAGAAGUAUGAAGAGGACCUCUUUGUUCUUUCCCAAGGCCUAAGACUGCUCAACCAUGAAUUCCCACCUGCAGAUGAACACUGCUUGUACGCAUACUCAGAGCAAGGAUUGGGUCAGGGAUGGAAUAAGGGGUUCUGAAGCCAAAAAGGCUGCUGUUUCCUAUUUAUAAGACCAUGGUAAAACACCAUAAAUUGUUUAAUGUAUAAAAAGCAAGUGUACAAACAAUUUACAAAAAUUACAAUUAUCACUUUGCUCUUAACAGAAUAAAGAUGACAAUAAUUCCAA